rnacentral:siRNA from 1 species
UACUGUGAAUGAUGCAUAAAAUAC